UCGCGAAUUUGAAUUUCGAAGACGCCUUGAGACUUGGGAGAAGAGAAUAUAGAUGUCGAAGUUAAUGGGCCGUGACGGCAACGUCUUCUUUAUUUCUGACACGCCGAAAAAAAUCAUUAGAUUAUUGAAAUGAGCUUCUUACCUACUGGGAUCUAUUAAAAAAUGGGCGAAACUACGAUAUGGUAAUGAAACUGCAGGAGCAUUUAGAUAGCAAAAUACAAAAAUAAAAAUAAAUAGAAAAAGAAAAUAAAACGUAAGAAGUGAAUCAAUCCUCACCGAAUCUCUUCGUCCGGGACAAAAUGCGGCCUGGUGUCGUGAUAAUUAUAGCAACCGUAGGACUACUAUUUACAGAAGGGACGAGAUGCUCGCGUAGUUACAACCAUUUUGUCAAACAUCGCACAAAGCCGCGAGAAAUUCGCGGCUUCAAGCCCGAAUAUUUAUCAACUGCUAUCGGUUUCGGAAAACGAGAUACUCCCUUCGGUCUCAUCAAGCCUCGCAACCACCAAAAUGUUCUUUUGGCGUUAUUACAAAAAACUUCUCAAAAACUGGAGAAAAGAAGAAUUUUAUGCAAACAGAGGAAUAUUCACAAAAUUGCCAUGUGUGACUAAUUCACGCGGAACAACAAAAUGGAGACAAAAUAAACGGACGAUGUGAUUUGUCUUUAUGAAAAAAAAAAAAAAUUCAAUAACAAUAAUAAUAAUAAUAAUAAUAAUAAUAAUAAAAUGUGCUAUACCUUUUCUUGUAACGCCGCUUCUGCUGUGUAACAAAUUAUUAAUUAUGCCAGUUUUAGCUACAGCAAUUGGUGGAAAUUCAAAAUCGUGAUUGAUCAUGGUAUAUCCCGUGUUGAAUGUUCGUCUCAUUCGAAUUCUAAAGAAAACGAAAUAACAAAGUUAUGAUCUGCAUUUGUUGUUCAACUAUGAAAUAAUAUGGUAAAAUUUAAUUCCAAUCGAACCGAAGCAUCAUGUAUUACUUGAUCUCAUUCUUACGAUUAGACUCAACAAUCAUGUUAUAAUAAAUAAAGCACUACGAAG
rnacentral:misc_RNA from 1 species